CUGAGUAUUCUUUCCUUUAUUUUCCCUUUUUCCGUCACAUAUUCCUUUAUUUAUCUUUUCCAGUGGGUUUAAAUUCCAUUACAUCACAUUUUUUAAUUAGAUUAAAUACUGUUGUCAAAAAUUAUUUGAUGUGAACCCAUUAACCAUAUUGUCUACACUUAUCAAAAAAAAAAAAAAAAAUUAACCAUAUUGUCUACAAUACAAAAUUUCUUUGCAGAGCUGGAUGGUUUUGUCAGGUAUACUAUAUAACACAUUAAGUAAUAUGAGACAUAACUUAGUGGAACACAGCUUGUUAAAAUUAUUUGGGUAAAUUAAAUCACUAUCCCUUGAGGUUUAUUGAAAUGACACUCCCCCAAGCGAUUGUAUAAAUGACAUCCACCCCCCUCGCUCCCUCCAAAACUCCAAAUUGCAGUUUAUAAAUGCAAUAGUUUAAGUCCAUGCUGAUCUAACGUCUCUCUUGGUAGGAAGAGCACAAAGCAAAAAAUUAUGGGUUUGUUCCAUACCCCCAAAUAAAAAAGGGGAAUUCGUCUAGGGUCUCUUCAAUGACAAAUAAAUAGGAAUUUCUAGUUGUACCUCGUGAAAAAAGGGACUUCUUUUGUCCUUUCAAAUUGUGAUUCUAUUAAUAGAGUAUUCCAUGUUAGAAACAGAUUCUUAUCCAAACUAUGGAUGAAAUGAAACUCCCCCCCUCCAAAUCCCUUUUUGAGGUAUGUAUAUUAUAUAGGAUUUGUUUAUAAAAAUGAAAUAUUCAGUUAGUGAAAACUUAACUGUUGCUUUUAUACAAUCCUCAAGGGUAGGGGGGAAUAUCAUCCAUGAUUUUAUUUUUUAUUUCUUGUUGGGGGUGGGAGCCAUUUCAGAAAAUUUCAAGGAAGUUUGGUGUAAUUAAUCUUGUUUUGUUUUAACAAAAAGCAUUAACUUUGAGAAAAUUUUGGAAUUUCUGAGAAAAGUAGUUUAGUUUAAUUGAGGAAACAAAAGGAAUAAAGGAAAGACGUAGGAAUCACUAUCUAGAGUUUGCUUGGAAUCAACCCAAAUUCUAUUAAAUCAUGAUCAACUACCAACAAUUGUGAACUGUAGAUCUUUUAAACAAAGUUCCCAAAUUACAUCAAACAUGGAAAGAAAACAAACUUAGUAUGAGAUUACUUUAUUUAUGAAAUAAAAUUCAAAUACCAAUCAAAUCUCUCUAGCAGCAUCGAUUGCAAAUCCAACAAAAUCAAUGUACAUUAUAGGUCAAAUUUGGCGUUCGCACUAGCUCUCCAAGGGUGGGAGAAACUUGACCUUGUUAAAUGUAGCUCAUGUGGUAUUAGAUGGGUCGUGAACCUUGGACCGAGUGGGCCUUUGUUUUUGUUUUUGUAUUUGUAUUUUGUGGUUUUCACAUUGGCUGGAUUAGACUGGUUGGUUGGUUUUUCAUAAAUGGAACAAUUUGUUAUGUGGGAAGAUUAUUACUUUUGCUUCCGGUAGUAAGUUCUGUAUAACAAGUUAUACAUGGGUUUCAAUUAUCUCAACUAAUAAAGUCUAUUGUCGUUGAAUAAGAGAUUUGAGAUUCACAACCCUCGUUUAUACCAAAACCCAAUUUGUGUAUAAUGUAUUGGCUUGAUAAUAAAAAGCAAUUAUCAUAGAGCGGACGCUAUAAUUUAAAAUUUUAUCGUA